rnacentral:rRNA from 1 species
GACGUAGGGCGCGAGCGUUAUCCGGAUUUAUUGGGUUUAAAGGGUGCGUAGGCGGACCAAUAAGUCAGUGGUGAAAGCCUGAUGCUUAACAUCAGAAUUGCCAUUGAUACUGUUAGUCUUGAGUAUGGUUGAGGUGGGCGGAAUGUGUCAUGUAGCGGUGAAAUGCUUAGAUAUGACACAGAACACCAAUUGCGAAGGCAGCUCGCUAAGCCAUAACUGACGCUGAGGCACGAAAGCGUGGGGAGCAAACAGG